rnacentral:rRNA from 1 species
AGGACGAACGCUGGCGGCGUGCUUAACACAUGCAAGUCGAACGGAAAGGCCCUUUCGGGGGUACUCGAGUGGCGAACGGGUGAGUAACACGUGGGUGAUCUGCCCUGCACUUCGGGAUAAGCUUGGGAAACUGGGUCUAAUACCGGAUAGGACUACGAAUCGCAUGGUUUGUGGUGGAAAGCUUUUGCGGUGUGGGAUGGGCCCGCGGCCUAUCAGGCUUGUUGGUGGGGUGAUGGCCUACCGAAGGCGACGACGGGU